rnacentral:rRNA from 1 species
UACGGAGGGUGCGAGCGUUGUUCGGAAUUACUGGGCGUAAAGGGCGCGUAGGUGGCCUUUUGAGUCAGACGUGAAAUCCCCCGGCUUAACCUGGGAACUGCGUCUGAUACUGGAAGGCUUGAGUUCGGGAGAGGGAUGUGGAAUUCCAGGUGUAGCGGUGAAAUGCGCAGAUAUCAGGAGGAACACCUAUUGCGAAGGCAGCUCGCUGGGACGUAACUGACGCUGAGACGCGAAAGCGUGGGGAGCAAACAGG